UGUGCGGCGACACCCUUCUCAGCAGCAGC
rnacentral:sRNA from 1 species